CUCACCUACUCUCGGGGCAGCGGCGAGGUAGGCCGCUGGCUGUUCACCCGGCCGCACCGCGUCCGUCGACAGUGCGUGUGCCGCCGCCACGGUGCCGCACGCGCCGUUUUCGCGGGAGCAGUCGCUAGUGGGCCGGGCCGGCAGGUUUUGGGGUCUGGCUCUCGGCGAGGCCGGCGGCCGAUCCCAAAGGGAGUACCGCGCCGCGCCGCCGCCGCCCUCCGCCUCGUUCCACUACGGCUUGGACCCCCGCCUGGCCCUCCCGUGCGCCGACGAGUUGGAGUGGCAAGACGCCGCGGAGCUGGGGCGGCAGCGGCUGUAGGAGCAGUGGCGGCGGUCGCAGUGGCGGAUGUCGAAGCUGGUCCUGUGCCAGGCUACCUCGGUGUUCCCGCACCUCCCCAGCGAGAAGCAGCAGUUCUCCUUGUGGGUUGGGUCUAAGGUCAAAGAGUAGUACUUAGCAGCUUUAUGUCUUUUAGACCAGCUCCUAGAGGACCCGCCAAAACUAAUGUUCCACCUUCAAGGAAUGUAUUAUAUGUGGUUACGACGUCGGCUUUAAUAACCUUAAACCAAGAUACUCGGACUCCUUACACUUCUUCACCGUGUAGAAAAGUCAUCCUAUGUAUUUCGUAUAAGGUCCCGCAGGGGUCUCUUUUACCAAGGAAGUCAAUUUUCAAAGUCACUAAGACUUCUCGACCUUCAUCGUAGACUACAAGGGAGUAGACUUCUAUGGGAUCUCGUCGGUUGUUGUGGUAGAUGGUACCAUGGACCGCUACAACCUAAGUUCAAUAACAGUCGAAACAAUUGUCGUCGACGUACACAACCUCGUGGGUGACCACCUCGUCCAGGUCAUGUCGGUUUAGUUGGAUAGUCCCGCCAAGGAAGAAGAUCCGCACGUAGCGGUCGCGGAUCACGACAAAGCAGUGUCGGAAGAUGGAGCGUAUUAGACGAAGGAGGAGGUGCUCGUAGUCGUCGAUGGCACCAAGGGGUUCUACGAGUACAUGGGUGGUCGCGAGGAUGGUAAGUCGGACGAUCAGAAUGUUUUGGUGGUAAGAAAGGGGGGUAACAAUGGUGUAGAAGCGUUCGUCGUUGUCGAGUACGACGAAAAGGUAGAAGUCGAGGUGGGGGUAAAGAAGGGGGGGAACGGUAAGUCGUGGCCGUCUCACGAGGGACAGAGGUCGGUAAAGGUGAUGGGCGACGAGGAGGAGGUUAACUACGAGGCGUGUCCGUUUCACGAGGGAACAGGGUCGGGAAACGUGUUAGGUGACGAGGAGGAGGUGAACUAGGAGUCGUGUCCCUUUCACGAGGGAACCGGGUCGGGAAAUGUGUUAGGUGACGAGGAGGACGUGAACUAGGAGUCGUCUCCGUUUCACGACGGAACGAGUUCGGGAAAGUUGAUAGGAGACGAGGGGGAGGUGGAGCAGGAGUCGUGACCGUUUCCAGAGGAAGCGAGCUCGUGAAACGUGCCGGGUGACUUACGGGGGGAGGUGGAAUGCCACGCGACAACGAAGUCGGUAAAGGUGGUGGAUUAGGAGGAGGAGGUGACGAACGGGGUUGUCGUAGCAUACCGGGUCACCAUGAUAGUUCUCUGUUGGACUCUCCACGUAACGACUCCGAACACGUCUUACUACUAAAGUAGCUGUACAAGAUGGCCCUCUAACAUUUUCCCAUCGUCACGGAAACUUCAACUCUCUGCCUGCUUAGACGAUGUCCGAACGGAACACAAAGUACACCACGCAAAGCAGUUUCGGACGCAUCUGUCUCUACACGCAGAGUGUAGGACAUCUCCGAUUGUAUCAAAUCUGACGUCACAGCUCUGAACCGCCCUUCAUUUUCUUCAGCACAGCUGAUCAAAAGUCAACAUUAAUUAUGAAUAAUGACAUGAUUUAAAACCGAGGUUUAUAAAUUCCACGACAUGGAAUGGUCGAAUGGUUGACCUAAUCUAAUCUAGAGAUAACAUGGCCUCCGUCGCUAACUCCUACUUAAUGGAUGAUUGUAAUGACCUUAGCAAACGACUCACGUAAAACUGCCCAAUCCGUCUGUAAUGAAAACGGUUC
rnacentral:rRNA from 1 species